GUUAUCUGUCGAAGGUAAGGGUGAAAGAUGGAUAUAAUGGCCAUGGAACGCUAUUUUAGGAUUAUUGGUGAAUAGCAAGAAUAUAGUUUUGGUGGUUUGAAAUUGUUUGUCCUCAGUGAUUGGCUUGAUUCUCAUUUUGCGGCAUAAGCGGCUGUUUGGUUACAUUGCAUUUUUUUAUGAUUGUGUAAUUAUUAUGAUUAUGUUCCUCCAAAGUAGGCAUCACAUAUCAAUCUCAAAGGCAGAUCAUCUUCUUUUCAUGCCUAUAAUUUUCUUCAAGAAUAUUAAUAAAAAAUAUUCCAUUUACCCCUGCCUAUCAUAUAUCCCAUGGAGCUGCCAGUGGAAGUAGGCAUGCAAUGUGACCUAGCAUUGGCGAUGUGGUUAAUUAGCUUUAAAGUACUAUGGAAUGCUAAAGGUCAUCAUUUAGAAUGGUUUUCAAAACAUUCCACUAGGAAAUAUUCAUUGAAACCUGAAAAUUACUUACAAAAUGUAAAUGUAUAGCCACGUCUCAAGAGCAUUCAGCCGUCUUCUCAGUAAAUAUAUAAUGAAACAUAAUCUUACCUGACCUAGCCUUACCUACAACCUACAACGUACGGCAUUGGUAAAGCUGGCAUCACUGUCAGCGUAUAUUAGUUUGGUAGGUUGUGGGUAGGUAGGUUGCAGGUCAGUAGGUAAGGUUAGGUUAGGUUAGAUUGUUUUUAAGAUUCCUUUUAUCUACACAUUUACCGGUUAGCGCUGACGGUGACACCAGCUUUACCGAUACCCAACCUACCACCUACAACCUACAACCUAAAACCUACAUUCAAUGGUGGCGGGUGGUGAUAAUUGUUAUACCUAUAUGAUAAUACUGGAGAUAAAUACCAUACAGAUUAGCUGGUAUCCAUGACACACUUUCUUAAGAAGAAGGUCUUCUAUUAAAUCAUGUCUAUUUUAUAGGAAUGAAAUGAUUUUUGUUGUAGUCACAUUCCCUACUCUGACCAUCAUGUCUGAUUAUUUCCAGUUACCACUGACAAUGCCCAAAACAAGAACAACAAAGGCCCAAAGGUGGCUGUUUGGUAGUGCGCAAAGCUGCUGGUGGUGGUGGACGUCUCUGCCCUGACGCGCGGCGUGCGUCUGCUCAGUGUGGAGGUGCCGCUGACAGCGGUGCCGGCCGGACCGGCUGCCUCUCCGGCGGCCGACAUUGAGCGCGGCACGUGUCCGCCGCCGUUCGGGCCGCUGCAGCUGCUGCAGUCGGCGGCGCAGCUGUCCGUCUCCGUGUCGCUGGCCGUGCCGCUGGACCUGCUGCCGCGGCCGGCGCCGGCGCGCUGCGCCUACGGCCGCCUGCUGGCCGUCGUCUCGCAGCGCGGCCUGCAGCGCAGCGGCGUGCUGCAGCUCAUCCAGCAGCUCAACGAGCCGCCCAGCCCGGCGGCGGCCGAGGGCGCCGCGCCGCGCCGGCCCGGCGACGUCAGCACACCUGGCAUCAGCGGCUUCUGCCUGUCCGACCGUCAGCUGCACCUGCUGUUCGCCGAGGGGCGCGCCGACGCCGAGCUGGAACAGACGGCGGCCGCGCCGCGCGCUCUGCCGCGCCGCGACACUCGACUCUGCCACCACUCGGGCCUACUGUUACGCCGUCCGCGCCAUCAGAGAGUGCUUCCGCACGCAGUGGCUGUCGGAAAAUGAACCUGCUUCCCAACGAGGCCGGCCUGCAACAACUGCUGGCCGGCUGUUGGCCGAAAAAAAAACGCCUUCAACCGGAUGUCAGUUGUCAAAUCAACGCGUAUUAAUGCAUUCACUAGGAUGGGCUUACGUAAAGCUGUAGAAUUGCAAAUAUAUAAUGGCACUGUUUUUGA